AUUGUUUUCUAGUGGAAAAUGGCCCAACCGAUACAGUAGAAAUGACAUUCCCGGUUCAGAAUGACAGCUCUCGUUGACAUCUGUCAUGAUUUGGUUGUAUUGGGAUGUGCUUAUGUGUGGGUGCAUGUGAGAAUGUGAUAGUGAAUGUGUGCGUACCAGUUCAAAAGCAUUUAAGGGAAAUUUCAUAAACCUAUAUGAAAUGAAAAAUUCAAUUUCAAGUUUCUUUUUACAUUUUAUUUACUGCUCUCUGUUCCUUCUAAACGAUCCACACAAAAAUAAACACUUUUUAUUCCAUCCAACGGGUCAGUUUUGGUAGCAUAGCUUAAUGCAAUUUUAUGGAUUCCGUCGGUCCUUUUUCUUUCGUCGCAGGUAAUUUCCUCGGUUGUGCUUGUCGAGGCCUCAAUUCUUCGAAAAGAACAUCACGAAACUUCUGAGGUAUUGGGACAGUAGACAUGCCUGAAACCAAGAAUCUUCCGGAACGCUGGAAUAGUAUCAUCGCAGUCUUCUUUAGAAAGAGCUCUAUAAAAGUUACCUGCAAUGAGACAUGCAAUUAAUAUACGUCCAAAAUAGGAAAACAAAUUAAUCAAGCACCUUAUUAAUGGAAUGAUGAGCGUUGUUAAAAUGGCGAUGACUAGCUGGUUUGUGGUUUUGCCGCUGCACUGGUUUUCCGAUGCUGCUGUGGACAAAGUUUGUAGCAAAAUGGCCGUUUGAAAUCUAGAUAUUUUUCAAGGCCUGCUUGGGUCACUAACACUCACAAGCAGAAAGUCGUUCAAAUUAUGAACCAUCUAUUAUACAGAAAAAGGAUUUAUUUGUUUUGUAUUUUAUGCUGAUGUAUAUGUGCAAUCGGUACAAUCAGCUGGCUGGGCUGAUGUACGUUUAGAGUUAAAACCUCAAUUUAUGGCAUUGAACGCAGCCCUACGCGCGAAAUUUUUCUCUCAACAAUGAUCCGCAUUGACUGCACAGAAAAAAAAAAUCUGAAUCCUUAAAAGCACUGAAAAUGAAAACCCUUAAUAUCACAUGACAUAGAACACGAUUUCCUUUUGUAAAUUUACAGAGUAAAUAAACAAUUGAACCAUUAACAGCACUGAAAUUGAAUCACACAAAUUUAACAUGACACAGAACACGAUUUCCAAUGUAAAAUUCCGUCAUUUAUGAUGCUCCUUUUUAUUUACAUCAUAUGUGAUGUAUUUUUACAGAAUACUCCAAUCAAACGCAAGAUACAAUUGACCUCAGAUCACCGUUUCAAAAAAAAAAUCAAACUUUUAACAAAAGAACUAUUAAAUCAUUUUACAAUCAUGAGGCACUUCCGUGUUAUUUGCUCUUUCAUAUAGCUAAUAUUUUUGUGCAGCGGCACCAAAAGUGGGAAGAUGUCACACACACACAUUUUCAUUCUGUUUGUUUUUGUUUACUUUGUAGAAAAAAACGUGAAGUGUACAAUGCGAAAGAAACUUUUUUGAAAAUUGUCUAUAAAAUCCGGACCUAUCUGCAGCUGGAAUAGUUUCUCGUUGUGAUAGUCGUAAACCCCUGUGGAACAAAGUGUUAGAAAAUGUCAGCUGUGAUCGGCGCGCUAAGAAACCACAGAAACAUCUCGUUACUCUUUUCCCCGAGAAUUUUAUCAGGAUCGAUAUCACUAGCUGGAACACUGGAGCAUUCAUCAGCCCCUGAGUAUUCGAGAUGCACCGGACGGAAAACACCAGUAGUGGAUGGAUUUACUCGUUAUCCACCAGUAGGUCGUCAACGAAGUACGAAAAAUUCAAAUCAGCUCAACGGCAAGGAUCAAGUUUCGACUGGCAGCAGGUAGGAUACCAUCGAUGUCUGAUUUAAGCAGCCAGCAACUCAAUGAGCUUGGAGGAAGUAUAAAAAUAUAAUUCAUAUCGAUGAACAAGCUGCGAAAAAGGAAAAUAAUGGUGAGAAGGUUUUGUUAAAAUUAUGCUCGGUAGUAAUUUCAAUUUAUCUCAUCGAAAGAUUUUUGUACCAUCCGUGGUGAUGUCCAAUCGUAAAUCCGAAAAUGGCCAAGGAGCAUAAGAAAAAAGCCCUGGAUUGUCAUGCAGAACCGCUGCUACAUUAAAGGACAAGGGAGUGUAUCGGUCGGGUGCAUCUACUGGCAUGGAAACCUACAUAUUUGCGAAUGUUAAUCAAGUAUUGAGAAAAUAAGUGGUUCAAUUGUGCAAUUAUCUUUGAGCUUGAGUGUUAUUAUGUUUACAAAUGCCAAUAAAAACAGAAUAUAAAAUUCUUUCUUGAUUUUUUAUUGGAAUCAAAAGCCUUGCGAAAAAAUUGAAAAUUACAUCACAUAUGAUGUAACCAAAAUAAAGCGUCAUGAAUGAUGGAAUUUUACAUGCGAGUUUAAUAUUACAGCUUUUCUAUUUUAAAUGACGUGUAAUGUUCAAAUCGCACUGAAAAUUCCGUCAUAUAUGAUGCUUCUUUUUAUUUACAUCACAUAUGAUGUAAUUUUACAGAUUUUUUUCGUAGUGUGUGGGUAGUAGGCGGCAAGUAGAAUUCCUACUAAUCUUUCUAGUGGUCCUACUACUCUUUUCCGUCAAAGGGAUAUUGCAAUGGCUCCCUUUAAGAUAAGCGAUGAGUAUUCAUUUCUAAGCGCAUCGAAAAAAUGAAAAAAAAAUUGUUGUACUGGUAGCGACAUCUUAUGGAUGUUAGUCCACUUACGAAUUGGUUUGAAACUUAGGUUGGUAUUCUCACACACGUUUUCAACACAUUUUUGUUCGGGGCUCGCUAUCUGUUAUCUGUGCUUCGAUCGAUUUCUAUCAGGCUGCUGAAUGAACAGCCAAACACUAAUACUAACGUACAGGCGCAGUGUUUUCAUAUGUAAUUUUGUUUGUCAGGUUCGUUCAGAAUUCGAAAAGGCGGUUUACUCAAGGCAAAUUGUAAUGAAUCCAUCAUUUUGGCCAUUUCAAUGGCAAUUCUUUCCCGUACUAAAGCUGUCCGAAAAAUUUUAGAUUAAGAAGUUGUUGUUCGACUCGAACUAAAUUUGAAUACUAAAAAGGAAUUAUGUUUAGAAUAAUGAGCAAUUUUUAGAGACAAGUAAGGCACAAACGCGAAAAAUUGUUGCUCUAGGAAAAUAAUUAAAUUCGCAUGCAAUUAUGAAAAUAAAAUAUAGUCAUUCUAGUCAAUUUUAUAUUUUAUUAAAAAAAAAUUUCUUGUUUCACAAGAUAGAUCAAAUUUUUCCAUUUCCUUUGGUGGGUCUUGAUGGUCACUUCCUAUUUAAUUAUUAUAAUAAUCCGAAACUGACUGACAGUUAUUGUGAAAAUGAAGUCCUAAUUUACAUAUGCAUCACAAUUCUUGUGCAACUGUAGCCGACUGACACCGACACCAACGCAGCAACACCAAAACAGCAUCGACCUAUACCACCAGCACCGCACCACCGAAACAACACGAACUCUCCUGACACCACUUUCAUUUUCACAACAUUUGAGCUUGUUGUGAGCAGCUGCAGCAACUGAUCCGACUGACACCCGUCACACCACACGGUAAUUUUAAAUUAUUCAGAGACUGAUUUGUUUUGGUUCAGGAGUCGCACCAUGUAUGAAGAUGAAAACAACUGAGUUGAAAUCCAUCAAAAUUUUGAGUUGUUUUUCUUCAGCGGUAGCGAAAUUCGUUGACUUAGCGAAGACGCACACUAUUUCACUGGGUAUGAAUGGAAACAACUCAGAGCAUCUCGAAAACAAAAGUUAGUGAUCGUUUUGAAAACAAAAGUUAGAUUAACUGCGACUGAUUGGUUUUCUCCAGCUGCGGCGCAACUUUUGCCACUGGAAUCGGUAAAAGGUCCGUCUGAACAUCAGAUCGCUUCGGACGCUCUCGGUCUGAUGUUUUCAUCGGAAAAUUUAUCUGUUGGCCGCAGGGAAAUAAUAUCGGCUGCUCAUAGAAUAGCAAUUAAAUAGUUUUGUUUAUUUUCAGCGAUUCAUAAUUUUGUUACUCUUCUCCAGGUCUAUUCCCGCCGGGUGUGGCAGUUCCUAUAUGCUAAGGGGACGUCAACGAGUUGGUUUGUACUGGAUGCGGUGCAGUAUUUCAUCACUGAGAUCGGUGGAAGUCCCAGCUGAGUAGCAAACUCCUCCGGUCGUCUUCCAGUUUGUUAGGUGAAAUUCCACCGGAUGCGGCAAAGGUUUUCGCUUAUGGGAUCGAUGGAACCGGCUGAUCAGCAGACCGUCAGGACGCCCUCCAGGAUCGAGAACACAAUCGGAAAAUUCGUCGGUUAACAGGAGAAAAACAAACGGUCACUUUCGAACAUCAGAAAGUGAUGGCUGCCACUCACCAUUUUGGACAAAA